GACGAACGCUGGCGGCGUGCCUAAUACAUGCAAGUUGAGCGCUGAAGGUUGGUACUUGUACCAACUGGAUGAGCAGCGAACGGGUGAGUAACGCGUGGGGAAUCUGCCUUUGAGCGGGGGACAACAUUUGGAAACGAAUGCUAAUACCGCAUAAAAACUUUAAACACAAGUUUUAAGUUUGAAAGAUGCAAUUGCAUCACUCAAAGAUGAUCCCGCGUUGUAUUAGCUAGUUGGUGAGGUAAAGGCUCACCAAGGCGAUGAUACAUAGCCGACCUGAGAGGGUGAUCGGCCACAUUGGGACUGAGACACGGCCCAAACUCCUACGGGAGGCAGCAGUAGGGAAUCUUCGGCAAUGGACGAAAGUCUGACCGAGCAACGCCGCGUGAGUGAAGAAGGUUUUCGGAUCGUAAAACUCUGUUGGUAGAGAAGAACGUUGGUGAGAGUGGAAAGCUCAUCAAGUGACGGUAACUACCCAGAAAGGGACGGCUAACUACGUGCCAGCCGCCGCCGUAACAC
rnacentral:rRNA from 1 species